UUUCCUGUCUGACUACCACAUUUUCUCCUACUAAUAGAUUUUAGUGGCUUUGCUUUUAUGGGACCGAGUACAAAUGCCACAAUCUUAAGAGGGAAGAUCUCUGUGUCCUGGUGCUCAUGGCUAUCUUCCUUAUC